AUUGAACGCUGGCGGCAGGCCUAACACAUGCAAGUCGAGCGGAUGAAGGGAGCUUGCUCCUGGAUUCAGCGGCGGACGGGUGAGUAAUGCCUAGGAAUCUGCCUGGUAGUGGGGGAUAACGUCCGGAAACGGGCGCUAAUACCGCAUACGUCCUGAGGGAGAAAGUGGGGGAUCUUCGGACCUCACGCUAUCAGAUGAGCCUAGGUCGGAUUAGCUAGUUGGUGGGGUAAAGGCCUACCAAGGCGACGAUCCGUAACUGGUCUGAGAGGAUGAUCCGUCACACUGGAACUGAGACACGGUCCAGACUCCUACGGGAGGCAGCAGUGGGGAAUAUUGGACAAUGGGCGAAAGCCUGAUCCGGCCAUGCCGCGUGUGUGAAGAAGGUCUUCGGAUUGUAAAGCACUUUAAGUUGGGAGGAAGGGCAGUAAGUUAAUACCUUGCUGUUUUGACGUUACCAACAGAAUAAGCACCGGCUAACUUCGUG
rnacentral:rRNA from 1 species